rnacentral:rRNA from 1 species
GAUGAACGCUGGCGGCGUGCCUAAUACAUGCAAGUCGAGCGAACAGACGAGGAGCUUGCUCCUCUGACGUUAGCGGCGGACGGGUGAGUAACACGUGGAUAACCUACCUAUAAGACUGGGAUAACUUCGGGAAACCGGAGCUAAUACCGGAUAAUAUAUUGAACCGCAUGGUUCAAUAGUGAAAGACGGUUUUGCUGUCACUUAUAGAUGGAUCCGCGCCGCAUGAGCUAGUUGGUAAGGUAACGGCUUACCAAGGCGACGAUGCGUAGCCGACCUGAGAGGGUGAUCGGCCACACUGGAACUGAGACACGGUCCAGACGCCGACGGGAGGCAGCAGUAGGGAAUCUUCCGCAAUGGGCGAAAGCCUGACGGAGCAACGCCGCGUGAGUGAUGAAGGUCUUCGGAUCGUAAAACUCUGUUAUUAGGGAAGAACAAAUGUGUAAGUAACUAUGCACGUCUUGACGGUACCUAAUCAGAAAGCCACGGCUAACUACGUG